rnacentral:rRNA from 1 species
UAGGGAAUCUUCCGCAAUGGGCGAAAGCUUGACGGAGCAACGCCGCGUGAGUGAUGAAGGUCUACGGAUCGUAAAACUCUGUUAUUAGGGAAGAACAAAUGUGUAAGUAACUAUGCACGUCUGGACGGUACCUAAUCAGAAAGCCACGGCUAACUACGUGCCAGCAGCCGCGGUAAUACGUAGGUGGCAAGCGUUAUCCGGAAUUAUUGGGCGUAAAGCGCGCGUAGGCGGUUUUUUAAGUCUGAUGUGAAAGCCCACGGCUCAACCGUGGAGGGUCAUUGGAAACUGGAAAACUUGAGUGCAGAAGAGGAAAGUGGAAUUCCAUGUGUAGCGGUGAAAUGCGCAGAGAUAUGGAGGAACACCAGUGGCGAAGGCGACUUUCUGGUCUGUAACUGACGCUGAUGUGCGAAAGCGUGGGGAUCAAACAGG